GUUUUUCUCUUUCUGAAAUGCAGGACCAGCAGCAGAAUUUGGCAACAGAUGGCUACAUGAAAAUAGACCCUUGCCUCAUUCAGUGCACAGAAUGGACCUGCUCUGGGGAUGAAACAGGAUUGUGAAGGAGACAUGUCUGUAGGACACCUACCUCAGAAGCUGGAAGACGUGCGGUGAAUGAGGCUGGGGAUUGUAGGAAGAGAAAGAAUUGUGUCAUAGAUAAAACAGAUGAAUGCUGCCCUGAAAAAUGGGAUUCUACCCCUGCCUCUUCCACAGAGUUCCUAUGUGAUGCUGGUCCCUUAAACCAAACUUUUCACUAAUUGUGUAUUCCUCAUUUUCUGGGUGCCUGACUUGAAACCUUGAGCACUCCAGCGCUAACUAAAUGAAAUAGGAGCUGUGCUUUGAACAUAUAAAGUGCUACAUAAUGAGAAGUACUCUGAAAAAAUCAGGUCCUCAGAAUCUCAAACUGGGCAUCCAUAAUUAAUAGUUACUUUGACCAUAAUUUCUCUGCACCUUGGUUCCCCAUCUGUAUAAUGGAAAUAAUAAUAUCCCCCUCAUCUCACAAGAGAGAGUUCUGAAAAUAAAUUCACUUAUUUGUGAAGCACUCAGAUACUAUAGUGAUAAGCUCUACAGAAAAGCAAAUGAAGAAGUAAUUCUGUCUUUGGAGCAGGGCUUGAAUAGCGUGCAGUGAACAGGGAGAAACCCAAAUCAUAAAUAGCUGCUGUGACAAAGUUCCUCCCCUAUCUUGGUGGGUCCUGCGCUUAUUGGCGGAUUUUCUUGCCUCAGAGAUUCACCAUGUGGGUUGGGGAACAGCCCAGAGACCUUCCCCUCUGGGAGAACCCACAGUCUAGGUCAAUUGGGAGGUUUCGGGGGAACCCGGGUCCGCCCUCUACUCCAGGUUCCAGCCUAGGGCCCUGUGGACUGCAGCUGUCUAUAGUGCCUCCUGUAACAGCUGCAUGACAGCUACAACUCCCUGGGCUACUUCCCCAUGGACUCCUCCAAACACCUUCCUUAUUCUCACCAUAGGACCUUCCUCCUGGUGUCUGAUAAUGCUUGUGCUCCUCAGUCCUCCAGCAACACACCCUCUCACUCUCAGCUCCUGAGAACUGGAUGACUUGGAGUAAGUCAUGCUUGGAUUUACCUCUCUGCCUUCUGCUUGUGUAGAGAUCCCAGGGGACAGAAAGACUUAGAGGAUUCAAAAGUCCACUGUGACUAGAGCUCAGGGAUGCAAGAAAAGUGUGGGAAUAACUGACAGAAGAGGUAUUGUCCGAGCAUCAGAAAAGGCAUAAGUUAGAAUGGAUAAUUGGGCCAAACCCUUUAGGAGAAAACCAGAACCUGAAUGAUUGGCUUUUAGCUCCCGGCUUCCCAAAACAUAACAGAGCUCGGAGGCACAGAGUCCAUCUUUGCCAGCUCUUUCCUCUGUGGGAUUCUAAGAGGUAUGUUCCUGCCAAGCUCCUUCCCGCUCCCCCCCUUUUCCAUUUUAGCAUGUAGCCAGACUAGAGAACACAAGAAAAAACCCUACUUAAGAUGUGGAGUCUUUCACAAUCUGAUACUGAACAAAGCAUGGGAAAUUCUGAGCAAAGAAAGAAAUGAAUGUUGUCCAUUCAGUGGCUUAUGUGGAAGGAAUUAUCUUCUUAGUAGACCGGUCUCAACAUCACACAGCCCAAACUGCAAUUAGACCUUUAAUGGCAAUCUUGACAUGGAGGUAAAAGAAUUGAUAACCAGGGAAAUUCAACUACUCUCAAGGCCUGGAAAUUGGUCUGGGACACAUGGACAAGACACUGUGCUGGAUCUUGCACCGCCCCACCAAUUCUGUAUCCUCUUCUGUGCAUAAAUGAAAGACUUUAGUAUACACUGCUAUGAACUGGAUGCCUUUCACAAAUGGUAAAUUCACUUAAAAGGAAAAAAUAUGAAAAUCCAGAUAAUUAAGAAUGCCAAAAAUAAUAGCUUGAUCAAUAAAUCCUUGAAAUGGACAUCCUAUUGGUCUUUGAUCCGGAAUCUGAGCUAACCAUACAAUAAAGACAAAACUGCAUGCAUGUUUAUUAUAUUGGUGUAAUUCAUACCACCAAGAAUAAACAUUUCCUAUGUCCUA